AGUGUUUUAAGUUAAGCUAAACUAAUGACCUUCAAAGUCAUAAAUGGAUAAAAUAUCUAGACACUA
rnacentral:tRNA from 1 species